AGAAUCUCAGCAGAGGUGAAAUAUGCUGGACGCAUCCAUCCAUUUACUGUCAGGACGUUGUCCCCCACAUGUAGUUUCCCACGUGGGAUUCUGGCACAUCCUUCUUGCCCUUCCUGCACCAGCUGCCACUGUUUACCAGUCUGUAGCAGCUGGGCGAUGGAGAGAUUGUCAAGGAUUCUUGACUGACAUGUUCCCCUGGGUAAGAGGGUAUCCAGUUUUUUUUUUAUAUCCUUCUAUUAUUUUUAAACCCAAAUCCCAU
rnacentral:lncRNA from 1 species